rnacentral:rRNA from 1 species
GACGAACGCUGGCGGCGUGCUUAACACAUGCAAGUCGAACGGAAAGGCCCUGCUUUUGUGGGGUGCUCGAGUGGCGAACGGGUGAGUAACACGUGAGUAACCUGCCCUUGACUUUGGGAUAACUUCAGGAAACUGGGGCUAAUACCGGAUAGGAGCUCCUGCUGCAUGGUGGGGGUUGGAAAGUUUCGGCGGUUGGGGAUGGACUCGCGGCUUAUCAGCUUGUUGGUGGGGUAGUGGCUUACCAAGGCUUUGACGGGUAGCCGGCCUGAGAGGGUGACCGGCCACAUUGGGACUGAGAUGCGGCCCAGACUCCUACGGGAGGCAGCAGUGGGGAAUAUUGCACAAUGGGCGGAAGCCUGAUGCGGCAACGCCGCGUGCGGGAUGACGGCCUUCGGGUUGUAAACCGCUUUCGCCUGUGACGAAGCGUGAGUGACGGUAAUGGGUAAAGAAGCACCGGCUAACUACGUG